rnacentral:rRNA from 1 species
GUGGGGAAUCUUGCGCAAUGGGCGAAAGCCUGACGCAGCCAUGCCGCGUGAAUGAUGAAGGUCUUAGGAUUGUAAAAUUCUUUCACCGGGGACGAUAAUGACGGUACCCGGAGAAGAAGCUCCGGCUAACUUCGUGCCAGCAGCCGCGGUAAUACGAAGGGGGCUAGCGUUGCUCGGAAUUACUGGGCGUAAAGGGCGCGUAGGCGGACAGCUUAGUCAGAGGUGAAAGCCCAGGGCUCAACCUUGGAAUUGCCUUUGAUACUGGCUGUCUUGAGUUUGGGAGAGGUGAGUGGAACUCCGAGUGUAGAGGUGAAAUUCGUAGAUAUUCGGAAGAACCCCAGUGGCGAAGGCGACUCACUGGCCCAAUACUGACGCUGAGGCGCGAAAGCGUGGGGAGCAAACAGGAUUAGAAACCCCAGUAGUCC